CCUUGACUGUCAAUUGGACAACCUGUCCUGUUACGUCCUGGUUUGUUUAACUCAGUGGAGCUAAACUCAAGAUGCAGCAAAUGCCUAGAGUACUUGCCUUACAAAGACUUCUAAUUGAGCUGCAUUGGGAAGUCUGUGAUUGGACAGACACAUUAAGUCUGGGCAGGGCUAGAAGGGGAGGUCUUACAAAGGCUACAGACAU